ensembl:lncRNA
GCAGCACCUGAAAUACACUGCUCCUACCCAUCCUCCAACACAUAUAUUGGGUAGACUGAAGAAUUAAGUGUGUGGGAAACGUUCCUAAAUUCAGAAGUGUACUUAGGAAAGCAUCUUGCUCAGGCUGCACUGUGAACAGAACAGUUGUUGUGCUCCCACUGGCAAUACCAGAGGAGGACUAGAGCAUACUACUGACUGGCUGGAAUGAAAACAGCUCUAUCCCACGGACUCCACCUCUGCUUUCUGGCAGCUUACCUGACUCAUAAAGAGAGUGGGGGGUUUUAUAUGCCACCUACAUCAACGCAACAUUUUCCUUUGUGAAGGAAUUCUUGAAACGAGGGAGAGGAAGGAACUGCUGUGGAGCUCAGCACUUACCUACUGUGAAGGAGAACCAGGGAAAUCAUUUGGUAAGAGUCUCCUCAUUUCUCUGUCACAAAGGCAGGUAGAAUCAAGGAACAGGAAGGAAAGGGGAAGACCAAAAGGACAGAAGUUAACCAUUGGCAGAUGUCAGUGAAGGAAGGGUAGAGAAAGGAAGCUGCUGCCGUGUUGGCAGAAAGUUUCCAGGUCCUCUGUGGGACCUGGAAAUUGACAGAGAAAUAAGGGGUGUGCUACACGACAGGAGACAGGGAGCAUCCUGUCAGGAAUGAGCUAUCUGACCAUACAUCAUAUAAAUAUAGGUUAUUUCCAUUCUUGAUGUGUUUCAGUCUUAAAAUGCACCACAGAUACAGCGCCUCUGCCUUGAAGAUAUGGAAGCUGUAGCUGUCUCAACCUUCCUGUAACCGCCUCCUCCUUCUCACAUGCCAGAUUUAACCCCAUAUUAUCUCCUCUCCUGCACUGUGGGUCCUCAGCCUGGCUCCAAUCAUCCUUCUUAUUGAUUGCACCUGCUUCAUGACUGGGGCACAACUCAAGAUGAGGACUUAGCAGUCAUCUGCAAAGAUGUGCUUCUCAAAGCAGAGGCACUAAUGAGCUCUGUGAAGGAAGCAUGCUGGGAGAGGCACCAGCAGGGAGAAAGAAGAGCAAAAAGAGAGCCUAUCAUCUGAGAAAGAAACAGAUUUAGGAGACUAUAGGAGACUCUAGGAUUAUUGCAGUGGGGAGACUAAAGGCAUGGAAGCCUCAGGAGGAAAGUGAAUGUGGGAGGAUGGAGCCAUGGAUGGUUAAAAAUAACAGUAUGGUACUCCACUGAUAUUUUAAACCUGCUGCCUUUGAAAACCCUUCUGAGUUUUGAAAAGCAAACCUUACAUUUAAUUGUUCUAAUUGGUACUGACCAUCCAGGACCACUGGCAUUUUGGGCCAGUCAUUUUGUCCAGCAACCCCCAUUUUCUUCACUCCAGGUCUAAUGGUUGCAACCAAGUCUUCAGCAGAUUGCUCUUUGUACCCUGCCUGAUGUAAAUAUCAAUGUAUCCCCAAUUAUGUUUUCAUUUCUCUGAAAGGGAGAUGGCAUUUGUGAGUAGCACACUAAUUCCAUGUGAUAAUGAUGCUAUCACAAAUUAGAGGUAAAUUAAAGCACCAUUCACAAUCAAUUUGUACAAUGUGGAAUUUGGACCUGGAUUAAUUCAGACCUGAAAGCCAUUUUUUUUUUAUGUUUCUGAACAACUGCCAGCUUUUCAAGCCUGUGGCUGUUCCAAGUAAUGCAUUAGUCUCUGUACAAAUAACACAUGUGAGAUGGGACCAAGUGGUAGCAAACCUGCUGGGGCUUUGAACCUCCUGGCACUUGUAAUGGGUGUGAGAAAAUGAAGGGAGGAACAAUAAAUAAAAGAAUAAAGAAAAGAGAAGUAGAAAG